GAAAGGGACAGUAUUGUUCGACAGUCUUUCAUAUUCGAGACGCGAUAGUGGAAACGUGCUAGCAAUCAGCAACGUUUGAGCAAUUAGUAAGAAGUGCUAGUUGCUAGAUAAAAUAUAAAAUCUGGUUAUUCGAAAGUUGACUUGCAAUUUUCCAUAAAAUGGAGUUGUUCGGGGAUGGGUCAUACGGCAACCGGAUAGAUUAUUUCACACGUGGAAAAUCCUCCCCUGAUGCACUUCGUGAUACAUAAAGGAGCUUAUUCCAGUAACACAAUUCUUCAUUAAUUCUCUUCCAUGCUGUUAUGGUAAGCUUUUUUCCUUACUUCUUUUUGAUUGUCUACUAUUGCUGUAUUAUUUGCCAUAAUGUCUGCAUUUUUAUCGCAAAGUGCAUUAUUUCAUUUAGGAAAAAUGAUACAGUACAUUCAUUCGUUAUCUUUCCUAUUUAUGAACCAAAAAUUAUAAAUGUAAAAGAACAAACCUCAGUUCUCAGAUUCUGUUGCAAUUCAUUACAAUUAGAUAUGGAUAUGAUUUGAAUAAUGUACCGGGUCUGAUAUGUACAAAAUCGUUAAAAAUUUUCAAUUUUUAAAUGUAUUUUA